GUGAAUCAUCGAAUCUUUGAACGCACAUUGCGCCCCUUGGUAUUCCAUGGGGCAUGCCUGUUCGAGCGUCAUCUACACCCUCAAGCUCUGCUUGGUGUUGGGCGUCUGUCCCGCCUUCGUGCGUGGACUCGCCCCAAAUUCAUUGGCAGCGGUCCUUGCCUCCUCUCGCGCAGCACAUUGCGCUUCUCGAGGUGCGCGGCCCGCGUCCACGAAGCAACAUUACCGUCUUUGACCUCGGAUCAGGUAGGGAUACCCGCUGAACUUAAGCAUAUCAAUAAGCGGAGGA
rnacentral:misc_RNA from 1 species